UCUUAUUGUUAUGUAUAAGCAUUUGUCUAAUGCUCUUACGUAAUUCAGGUUCGUAAAAUGAAAUCAACCUAUGUGGAUGGGCUAAGAACAUGCAUGAGAAAGGGAUUUAUUUGCCCUACAUGGAAUCAGACAGGAACUGUGACUGGCAGACUUUCAUCCAAACGUCCAGACUGGUGAACCCUAGUAUAUACCCAGGGGAUUACAGAGAAGAAGAAAGAGCACAAGAAGCCCUUCUCUUCUGGAAUUUGACUUCAGGCCUUUCAGUAUAGAAUCACCCUGUUACACUGGAAGUCUUUCCAGGUCUCUUUAUGGCUCUUUGUGCUUUGUUUUGGCUAUAAUUUUUUCUGUGUAU